rnacentral:rRNA from 1 species
UACGAAGGGUGCAAGCGUUACUCGGAAUUACUGGGCGUAAAGGGUGCGUAGGUGGUUGUUUAAGUCUGUUGUGAAAGCCCCGGGCUCAACCUGGGAAUGGCAAUGGAUACUGGACAGCUAGAGUGCGGUAGAGGGUAGUGGAAUUCCCGGUGUAGCAGUGAAAUGCGUAGAUAUCGGGAGGAACACCUGUGGCGAAAGCGGCGCACUGGACCAUAACUGACGCUCAUGCACGAAAGCGUGGGGAGCAAACAGG